rnacentral:lncRNA from 1 species
GAACUGUUGACUUUCUGUUUUUCAGUUGUUAGAUGGAGGUUGUUUCAAACAAAGGGUUUUGGAAGGUACACUGUAGCCUAUAUUUGCCCCAGGCGGUAGUAUGUCAGGGUGUGUUUGACAACGGAGACAUCAGAGCCCUAACCUGCUUGCUCUUUACAGCAAAGCUGCUUGUGAGCUAUUCAGACGCAUGAAAUAUUUAGACACUGGAGUUUCCGUUUCAGCGGGAGGGCAGUGAGAGUUGCGGGGAGGAACGGAGAGAAAGAGAGAGAUAGAUAGAAAAAGCAGGGGAAGAAAGGUGGAGAGAGAGAGCGACGUGCAUCAGGUAAAAAGAGUCAGAAGUCAGCGAGAGGAGAGAUUACGGUAGACAAGCCGGACAUCCUGGGCGGGAAACCAAGGAGGGAUGGAGGGAGAGAGCGAGCACGAGGAAAUUUAUACGCCACGCAACGAGCCUUUAAUCCUGGUUGACGGACAGGCCGAGGUUUUGGGUGGUGGAGGGGAUGAUGAUAACACAGCCCCCCCUGCGAUCCACGUCACUGAGGAGAGGGGCCCCAACCAGUUGGAAGAUGCUAUUGUUUCUGCCCCAGCUGGGGGAACCACAAGUGUCAUCGACAAUGAGCUGGACGCACGCAGUCUGGGUGAUGCAGAGACAUCGGCGUCAUCAUCACAGGCCCCUGACGUGGCCAUGGUCUCCCAUGAGGACCAAGACAACCGCCUCUCAUUGUCUGACGGGCUGCUGGAGGAACACACACUCCAGACUCAACCUUCGCCGCAACUGACUUCACAUUUCACCGGAAUAGAGAAUCGAGUCUCAGAGCCCUGCUGGUAUUGCCUGAGGUCUCUCGAGCCAGAGCAUCGCCCUCAUGAUCCUGGACAGCCUGACGUGAUGGUGUUGCAACAGGACUACAAUUCUGUGACACCAGUGCCCCCCAGUGGCCAGAAAGUGAACUACCAGACAGACCCGCGGCCUCACUUUGGCGUGGCCUACUCCUCCCGCUCCACCGCACUCCCCCUGUGGGGGAGCGAGGGUCCGAGCUGGGUCAUCCGGAACCAGGACCUGGUGGAUCAGAAUGACACCUGCCCUCACUGCCAUAUAGCACUACCCCCAGACACACUGCGCUGGCAUGAGGCAAAAUGUUUGCUCUUUGAUGGAUUCAAGAGUAUAGUAAACAAUUAAAUCUCCUGUGGGAUGAAGCUUUCUCAUGUAUCCUGAUCGAUUUCACACGCCUAAAGGAUGCUGUAUACUCCUCAGGAAACACAUCCAUGACAUCCUUGUACAAAAGAGUAUUUUUUUUUAACUAGGAUUGCAGAGGACAUUGUCUGUUAUUCGCUUUGUUUUCAGAAAAAAUGUAUAUGUCACGGACACCAAUAAAGAACAUACAUCUAUGUCUGAUCUUGAUGAACAAUCUCCACAAAACUACUGGA